AAACCAGCACCUCAAGUGGUCAGGAGGAUUAUUGGGCCUAAAGCAUCCGUAGCCUGCUUUGUAAGUUUCCGGUUAAAUCCAUUAGCUCAACUGAUGGGCCGCCGGAAAAACUGCAAAGCUAGGGAGUGGGAGAGGUAGACGGUACUCGGUAGGAAGGGGUAAAAUCCUUUGAUCUAUUGAUGACCACCAGUGGCGAAGGCGGUCUACCAGAACACGUUCGACGGUGAGGGAUGAAAGCUGGGGGAGCAAACCGGAUUAGAUACCCGAGUAGUCC
rnacentral:rRNA from 1 species